rnacentral:rRNA from 1 species
UACGUAGGGCGCAAGCGUUGUCCGGAAUUAUUGGGCGUAAAGAGCUCGUAGGCGGUUUGUCGCGUCUGCUGUGAAAACCUAAGGCUCAACCUUGGGCUUGCAGUGGGUACGGGCAGACUAGAGUGUGGUAGGGGUGACUGGAAUUCCUGGUGUAGCGGUGGAAUGCGCAGAUAUCAGGAGGAACACCGAUGGCGAAGGCAGGUCACUGGGCCGCAACUGACGCUGAGGAGCGAAAGCAUGGGGAGCGAACAGG